UGGACUCAUUUUCUUCUUUUGGGGUCACCUUUCUAACCCUCCUCUCUCCAGUCCCUUCCCUCUGUCCCUUCAUUCACCCCAGUGAAUUGGUAUUCUUUGCAGGUAGUAUUCCAGGAGGAAUCUCAAACCCUCAUUCUUUGUGAAGUCCAUGUGACCAUCAAAUCAGGAGGCUGUUUCUCUGUGGGCAGUUCUGAGAAUCAAGAUUGUUCAUUUCUGCGUGUGUUGUACCCCUGAAGGAAUGGGAUCGUGAGUAACAUGCAUCCUUCCCACCAAGCAGCGCAUUGGAGUUGAUAGCUAAGUGUCCGUGCAUUAGCUUGCCCUUAGCUAGAGCUCUAGUAUCACACGGUGGUAAGCUGGACACAUAAUUAAAAGUUUGGAAAUACAGUAAAGCAUAAAUUUACUUACAACCCUACCAUCCAGAGGUAACUGCUGUUAGUAUUUUAAUAUAUUUCAUUUUAACCUUC